rnacentral:rRNA from 1 species
GGAAGUAAAAGUCGUAACAAGGUCUCCGUAGGUGAACCUGCGGAGGGAUCAUUACCGAGUGAGGGCGAAACGCCCGACCUCCCACCCUAUGUGAUUACACCAUGUUGCCUCGGGGGCGCCCGCGCCUCACGUCGCGGCGCCCCCGGUGGACCGUUUACUCCGCGUCUCAUGGUUGGGUUUAAAUUGAUGAAUAUAUCAAAACUUUCAACAACGGAUCUCUUGGUUCUGGCAUCGAUGAAGAACGCAGCGAAAUGCGAUAAAUAAUGUGAAUUGCAGAAUUCAGUGAAUCAUCGAGUCUUUGAACGCACAUUGCGCCCCCUGGUAUUCCGGAGGGCACGCCCGUUCGAGCGUCAUUACACCAAUCAAGCCUGGCUUGGUAUUGGGGCACGGGGGUGACCCGGCCCUCAACGUCUUCGGCAGAAGCGUCCCGAUCGCAGCGUUGUGACACACAAUCUCGCUGGUGAGACGGGCGCUCCGCGCCGCGAAACAAAGGUUGACCUCGGAUCGGGUGAGGAUACCCGCUGAACUUAAGCAUAUCAAUAAGCGGAGGA